ensembl:miRNA
UAUUAGGUUGGUGCAAAAGUAAUUGCAGUUUUGCCAUUACUUUUGACAGCAAAAACUGCAAUCACUUUUGCAGCAACCUAAUAUUUA